ACUGAUUUAUGUCAUAUGUGUAGGGAUCUGCACAGACACUGUGUCCUGGCCUCAUUCUUAUGACUGAUGACAACACCAGUGAGGUAAUGGCCUCUCCUGGCUCUCAGUUGUGGAAGAGCAUGGAGCAUAAGGAGGAGCUCAGAUUUCUGAGUGCCUUGAACGGCAAAAACACAGAACAGAACAAAGGCUUAAAUUGUCUUCCUCCAAGUGACCAGGUGAUGGAGGAUGGAAGACUUUCUUCAUUGCUCCUUGGGGAAUGGGGUGGACAGUGUGCUUCUCUCCACCUGCUGCCCUCUGGUAGGGUUUUCAGCCACAAUUGCAGGAAGUGCAAUACAAACAUCUCAAAUGUCGUUGGGAAGGACGUUCUUGGCUAA
rnacentral:lncRNA from 1 species